rnacentral:tmRNA from 1 species
UCGCUCUCGCGGCUUAAUUGACCGCGACGUUUUCGCAGUGACGCCUGCUAACGGCGAAAACGUGGACAGCAGGCUGGCGAAUCGGCGGGGCGACCGCGCCGGUUCGUGAAUCGAUUUCGUGGACGCUCGGGAGCCGGCAGUGCGCCGGCGCAUGGCUUGGCUCCUCAGAAUUUAUCGCCGGAUAAACAUGUAGAUGUUUGCGCGGAUAGCGACGAGGACAGGGGUUCAACUCCCCUCGCCUCCAAUU